rnacentral:rRNA from 1 species
UAGGGAAUUUUCGUCAAUGGGCGCAAGCCUGAACGAGCGAUGCCGCGUGAGUGAAGAAGGCCUUCGGUCGGUAAAGCUCUGUUGCGGGGGAAAAAAGGGACAGCAUCAGGAAAU